rnacentral:piRNA from 1 species
UGUCUGUGCAUGUGUGGGGUGAGGUCAGC